UUCGUCUACAACGGAGGUGUUGUUGUGUUUGGUUCGUCUACAGACGAAGAUGUUGUGUCUGCUGGCUCCUCGUCCUCUUCACCUUCAACAUACAACAUACGUAUCUUGACUUGUAUUGAGAGUUGAAUCAAUUACUUUGAAGUGUGAAGUGUUCCUGGUGAUGUAUUUGUUAUUUCGAUACGCAGUAAUCAUCGUACCUUUCUUCUUCACAACUUGAAAUGGAUUCGGGUCAAAACGAGUUGAAAGUUUGUUUUGUUUUCGUUGCUUUGCGAGGACAGUAUCACCAAUUUUGAGUUGGGAUGGUUGUGCUCUUCUCUUCAGAUCAGCCUGCUCUUUCAUUGUGUUUUUUGCUUUGAUAUCAUUCUCUUUGGCCUGAGCGUGUGCAUCUGAUAUCUUUGGAUCCAGUAUGUGUAGUUGUGGCAGUUUGUUUUGAACCUUUCGGUUAAAUAGAAGUUCAGAUGGAGCAAAUUUAGUAGUCGUGUGAGGAGUAGUCCGGUAAUUGAGAAGAAAUUUGUAGAGGUGUUUUGUCCAUGACUUGCCUUCUGCAUGUGCUGAUCGGAUUGCUUUCGUUAGUGGUUUCAUGAAGUUUUCCGCUUCAGAAUUUACCUGGGGCCAUAGUGGUGUAACUCUUCGGUGUUGUAUUCCAUUUUCUUCCAUGUAUUGUUGUAUCUCGUGACUCGUAAAUGGUGGGCCAUUGUCACUGCAGAUUAUGGCAGGGAUGCCGUGUACAGUGUACAGCGAACAUCCGAUGGAAGCAGCUGAAGUUGAACGCACAAUGUCGACUUCUGGAAACCGUGAAUAGGCAUCAAUCACAACGAAAAGAUAUUCUCCUGAAGGGAAGGGACCACAAAAAUCCAUGUGUGUUGUGUGCCAGGGGGUUGGGGGAAGUGAAGACAUUUGUAGUGGGUCUGGACGGUUCUCGGGACCGUUUGCCUGGCAUGCAAUGCAUGUGUCGAUCAGUCUUUUGGCAAUACUGUCGAUUUUAGGGAACCAAACUUUCUCUCUCAACAGUCGUUUGGUUUUAACCAGUCCUUGAUGGCCUUCGUGUGCUAAUGAUAUUGCUUUCUCCCGCAACAAAGAGGGUAUUACGAUUCGAUGGUCUCGUAGUAUGAUGUUGGACGAAUCAUUAACUGUCAGUUCGUCUUUGACAUGUUUAAACAAGUUCAGUUCUGUAUGAUCAAUGUUUUGGAAUUCUGGUGAGAGCGUUUCGAGCUUGUCCCAUUCCUGAGUUCAUACGAGAUGAGUUACACACUGCAAAGUCCUGUCUUGAACUGUUGCCUUUUGAAUUUCAUCCAAUGUCAUGGCUUUAGGUACUGCAUGUGAGGAGAGGAAAUUGACAUAUUCCUCUGCUAGAGAGCUCUGUCUCGUUUCUUUAAUGCUUGAGUGUCGUGAUAGGUAGUCAGAUGGGUUUUUCAGUCCUUCAGUCCUUCAAUAUGUGCCACUUCAAAGUCAUAACCUUGCAGACGGAGGUUCCAGCGCUCUAUCCGGGCUGGGGGCUUAGAUCUGGGGUUGUUGAAGAUGAGUUGAAGAUGAGUUGCACUGGUUUGCAAUCCAUAAUGAGUUUGAAACGACUACCAUAGAGGUAGAUGUGCAAUUUUUCUAUUGCCCAAACAAUGGCAAGGGCCUCUUUCUCAGUCUGGGAAUAUCGUCGUUCUACUGGUGUGAGAGCCCGACUGACAUACGCGACAACUCCUGUACCAGGAUUGCGGAUAGUCCAAUGGGAGAAGCAUCCGUGAUCACUUCUGUUUCCUUCUUAGGAUCGAAAUAUGCCAUGACCUGAGCACUGGAGAGGAGAUCCUUGAUUUGGUUAAACGACUGUUCAUGUCGCCUGGACCAUUGAAAUGGUUGGUUUUUCUUCGUUGAUUCGCGAAGGGGCUCGGAAACAUCACUAAACUUGUGAAUGAAUUUGGCACAGUACGUAGCCAUCCCUAAAAAACUACGCACUCCACUGGCAGUGGUUGGUGCUUGGGCACUUUUGAUGGAGUUGACUUUGUCAGGAUCAGGGGCAAUGCCUUUGUCUGAGAAAACAAAUCCAAAAAACGUGAUGGAGGGCUUGUUAAACUCGCACUUGUUUUUGUUUAGGGUGAGAUUUGAGUCUGCAAACUUUUGACACACGCUUGCUAAAGCAGUAUCAUGCUCUGCUUUUGUCUUGCCAAACACAAUGACAUCGUCACUUAUGUUGAGGGAAUUUGGGAUGUUUUGGAGUUGGUCUUGGAUUGCCUUUUGGAAAAUUUCGCUUGCAGAAUUUGUUCCAAAGUUAAGUCGAGUGUAUCUCCAAAGCCCUUUGUGCGUGGCAAAGGUGGUGAUAUAACGGCUUUCUAGCAAUAGUCACUUUGCUGGGUACUAUGUAUACAAUUAUGAGGUCUCAGUGUACCAACCCACUGUGAUAUUUAUGAGCCUCUUGCUGGUUAUAUAGUAGGGUAUUGCAAUCUUGUACUUUGGGAUGGAGUCCCAUUUUAGUGGCUGUGUGGGCAUUAUUAUUAUCACUCCCAUGUAAUUUGGUCACCAAGUUCGUUUAGUUUAGUUGUUACCCGAGCGCGAGGUGCACGCAUGGGCGGCCACGGUUGGUUGGUUUGUUUGUAACAGGUGAAUCUACUCACCUAGAUGCCACAGCUAGCAUGGAUAGUCUUCACACAACAAGUUAUUAGUUUUGUGUUAAACACCUUCGUUGUCAAAUAAAACUUAUCGCAUGGGUAGCUUCCUAUCAAGGGGUUGUGCAAGGCCUGGAGUUUUUCGCAGAAAUAUGUCUUCUGAAGAUGUCAGAAGUACAAUUUUGGAUUUUGUGUAUAGAGAAGGUGUAGCACUGGCUUGGCUGGUCAGGGCAUCUUAUCUGUAAGAUACACUAGAGGUGUGUUCAUGCAUGCAUAAUUGUUUAAAAUAGGAUUGUGUUUAAAAUAGGAAUUGGACGACUCAAUUGAGGGUGAAUCGUCUGGUGUGCCUGUGGCGAGAACCCUACUCUCGUGUGUGAAUCGUCUGGUGUGCCUAUGGCCCUUAGUGAGCCUCGUGGGUGAAUUGUCUGGUGUGCUCUUAGUGAGAACCCUACCCAUGUGGACGAGAACAAUGAAACUCUAGAACAAAGAAGAUCCAUCAUACGUACGUACAACGAAUCACUGCAGGCGGACCGAGAAAAAGAUCUGUACCAGUUUGCUCUGAAGAAAGGAGCAAAGAAAGGAGCAUUGAGUGGGUGUAGACAAAUAAUAUUAUUCAUGGUUGAUGACCACAGUGUGGUAGCUCUGCAAAUAAAUGUACAUUGCUACCCAUGCUGUAAAUGCAGUGCUAGAGAAUCCAGGUAAGCACAGGUUUUACAAAGGUGUUUAACCCUUUAACCGCCACGGGCCACGAUUGUGGCCCGCAAUAGUGAUUCUGCGAUACUUAGGAAGUAGCUCGACUACGCACAUCCCUGUAUAGAGGAAGAGCUGUAGAAUCACGUGCAAUUUAGUCUAGAAAUUUCCAAGCCACGUUGCUAUGUUAAAAUUUCAUUAGCAUCUUACCGCACGAAGUUUAUAGCUAGCUUACCGCACGAAGUUUAUAGCUAGCUAGCUAUGGCUAGGUUGUCAAGCUAAAAAAUUUUUUUGGGAUUUUAUCUCACCGCUGGCCGAGCAUUUAAAAUUAUAAAAAUGGGUGAGCGUAAUAACCGUGGUUGUUACGGCAACACAUGUUGCACCAUUUUAUAUGGGUAUUUUAGAGAACUUACAGACGUUUCACUUCACUGUUAAUUAAGAAUCCGACGGUUAAAGGUUUAACACAAAACUAAUAACUUGUUGUGCAAGUGUAAGCUUUCAAAACCUGCUUGCUCCUAAACCCUAACCUCAUAAUUAUUAUUUCAGUCACAAAUGUCUCUCUUCUAUAGACUGUAACUCGGCUGCAGGAUAAAGUAACCUUUGAACCCUAUGAACUCUCUGCUUUUCCUUCUUUUUGCCUCCAAUUGACCGCAGCGGGUAACAAGCCAAGAAAUCUUUGGGCGUGUUGACACAACUUCUACAUAGGAAACCGACCUAGCGUUCAAAUAGAAAACAUCCGGGGCUGGCUGUGCGAGACUAUUCUAAUAGUAGCAGCUUUGGGUACCAGGAACAAUGGAACAGGGUUGCUACGGUAGCUACGGUAAAAAGCUAUAAAGCUAUAGAAUUAUAGCUCCUGCUGCCUAGCCAGUUAGUUAGCUGACCUACUCCAUGCAUGCAGGUACUCCAUGCAUGCAGGACCACGUAUACUUUGCACAGUGCGUAUAUAUCUGUAGUACCACUACCUGUUUUCAAAUUUUUCAGCAUGCCUCCAGUCUGGUUUAGUUUUUUUGCUCGACAAGUAAGAGGAGGGGCUGUCAAUAUUGCGCAUGCAUGCACAAUCUAGCUGAAUGAAACCUCGCUCAAUACAAUGGCCACUGCAAAUAAAAGGAGUGAGCUUAACAAGACUAACGUACUGUAAGUCGAUAAAAAACUAUUCUAGCUAGCAGCUUCCCUUCUGGCCACAGUACAUGUACAAAAGUAUCUUCCUCAAUGGCAUCCGUUAAUUUGGAAAUUUCAUGUAUUCUGAUCACUAUAAUUAUUUGCUACAGUUAUGAAAACAUGAGCUUCAAAAUGUUCUAUGCUAGAUAAACGUGGGCCCUAUGUGCGAUAAAUUACAAGACUAGUUGACAAUUUAGAUUGACUGUAUUGCAGGUACGGGCUGAGAUAAGUAAGGUUACUGUGUGAGGGUAGGGAAAGUACCGUCUGAGAAAAAUGCUGUAGCUCUGAAGAAGAACUUUCCAGCAUUCUAUGGGAACUCCAAGAAGAGGAAGGAAGUUUGACCCUACCGCGGUAGCAGAUCAACAAAAAAAGAAAAAGUCUACAAACACCAGGAUAAAACCUCGAAUGUUUAACAUCGUUUUGUUGGCCAAAAUGACAAUCUUUGUACCAACGCGAGGGGAGGACGGGAGGACGCGAGGGGAGGAUUUUGAAGCUUGUUAUUCGAAGAUGUCAGAAGUACAAUUUUGGAUGGCUUUUCAGAUUUGUGUAUAGAGAAGGUGUAGGCUGGGGGCACUGGCUUGUUUGACCUGGCUGGUCAGGGCAGUGUGUAUAUCUUAUCUGAUGAAUCCACAUUGGACGACGUGGACGACUCAAUUGAGGGUGUAUCAUCUGGUGUGCCUAUGGCUCUUAGUAGUGAGAACCCUAUACCCACGUGGGGUGAAUCGUCUGUGGCGAGAACCCUACUCUCGUGUGUGAAUCGUCUGGUGUGCCUAUUCGUCUGGUGUGCCUAUGGCUCUUAGUGAGAACUAUACCCUCGUGGGUGAAUUGUCUGGUGUGCGGACGAGAACAAAGAAGAUCCAUCAUACUUGCGCGUACAACGAAUCACUGCAGGCGGACC